GACAGAGGGUGCAAACGUUGCUCGGAAUCACUGGGCGUAAAGGGCGUGUAGGCGGGCAGGUAAGUCGGGCGUGAAACCCCACGGCUCAACCGUGGAAGUGCACUCGAAACUGCAUAGCUAGAGUCCUGGAGAGGAAGGUGGAAUGCUUGGUGUAGAGGUGAAAUUCGUAGAUAUCAAGCGGAACACCGGUGGCGAAGGCGGCCUUCUGGACAGUGACUGACGCUGAGACGCGAAAGCGUGGGGAGCAAACAGG
rnacentral:rRNA from 1 species